rnacentral:tRNA from 1 species
GCGGGUGUAGCUCAAUGGUAGAGCCCCAGCCUUCCAAGCUGGUGGUGAGGGUUCGAUCCCCUUCACCCGCUCCA